rnacentral:rRNA from 1 species
UCGCGCGAUCGCCUUGAGUUUGAUCAUGGCUCAGAAUCAACGCUGGCGGCGUGCCUCAGACAUGCAAGUCGAACGAUUAAAGCUCCCUUCGGGGAGUGCAUAAAGUGGCGCACGGGUGAGUAACACGUAAGUAAUCUACCCUCGGGUGGGGAAUAACAUCGGGAAACCGAUGCUAAUACCGCAUAAUGCAGCGGCACCGCAAGGUGACAGUUGUUAAAGGUUUAUUGCCUGGGGAGGAGCUUGCGGCAGAUUAGCUUGUUGGUAAGGUAACGGCUUACCAAGGCUACGAUCUGUAUCCGGUCUAAGAGGACGGUCGGACACACUGACACUGAAUAACGGGUCAGACUCCUACGGGAGGCAGCAGUCGGGAAUUUUGGGCAAUGGGGGAAACCCUGACCCAGCAACGCCGCGUGAAGGAUGAAGUAUUUCGGUAUGUAAACUUCGAAAGAAUAGGAAGAAUUAAUGACGGUACUAUUUAUAAGGUCCGGCUAACUACGUGCCAGCAGCCGCGGUAAUACGUAGGGACCAAGCGUUGUUCGGAUUUACUGGGCGUAAAGGGCGCGUAGGCGGCGCGGUAAGUCACUUGUGAAAUCUCUGAGCUUAACUCAGAACGGCCAAGUGAUACUGCAGUGCUAGAGUGUGGAAGGGGCAAUCGGAAUUCUUGGUGUAGUGGUGAAAUGCGUAGAUAUCAAGAGGAACACCUGAGGUGAAGACGGGUUGCUGGGCCAACACUGACGCUGAGGCGCGAAAGCCAG